GCGAUGAGCUAAUUUGCAUAAGACGAGAGACAUGCUUUCAAGCACGUUCGGGAUGUGGCCCAACGGUCUUUUCGCCGCAAACGCAUCAAAGACGCCAGCAUAUGCUAGGCGUC
rnacentral:sRNA from 2 species